rnacentral:lncRNA from 1 species
GAUUGUGUGCAGAUCAAGCGUAGUUGGUACCGCUCCCGACUGCUGAUCCCUCUAGUAUCAGACGAGCUUUCGAAGAUUUUGAUGUAGUUGUUGAUUGGCCGUUUAUUUCACCAUUUUAGUGAAGCUAAGUUCUGUCAUUCGGAAGGCAAAGCAAAAGCAGAACUAGAGAAGGAAAGGUUCUCUAGAAAAGGGAGAUAUCACGUGAUAGAGAGAGAGAGUUGAGAGAUUUUGUGGGUUUAUUUGACCAAACUUAAAUGAGGGUUAUUUUGGUCAUGAUGAAGGUAUUCUAGAGGAUUCCUGGACUUGGGCUAGCGAAUUGGGCUUUCACAUUGGGUUAGAUGGG